CCUACGGGAGGCAGCAGUGAGGAAUAUUGGUCAAUGGACGCAAGUCUGAACCAGCCAUGCCGCGUGCAGGAAGACGGCUCUAUGAGUUGUAAACUGCUUUUGUACGAGGGUAAACGCAGAUACGCGUAUCUGUCUGAAAGUAUCGUACGAAUAAGGAUCGGCUAACUCCGUGCCAGCAGCCGCGGUAAUAAGGAGGAUUCAAGCGUUAUCCGGAUUUAUUGGGUUUAAAGGGUGCGUAGGCGGUCGGAUAAGUUAGAGGUGAAAUCCCGAGGCUCAACUUCGGAAUUGCCUCUGAUACUGUUCGUCUAGAGAGUAGUUGCGGUAGGCGGAAUGUAUGGUGUAGCGGUGAAAUGCUUAGAGAUCAUACAGAACACCGAUUGCGAAGGCAGCUUACCAAGCUACUUCUGACGUUGAGGCACGAAAGCGUGGGGAGCAAACAGGAUUAGAUACCCGGGUAGUC
rnacentral:rRNA from 1 species